rnacentral:rRNA from 2 species
AAAUUGAAGAGUUUGAUCAUGGCUCAGAUUGAACGCUGGCGGCAGGCCUAACACAUGCAAGUCGAACGGUAACAGGAAGCAGCUUGCUGCUUCGCUGACGAGUGGCGGACGGGUGAGUAAUGUCUGGGAAACUGCCUGAUGGAGGGGGAUAACUACUGGAAACGGUAGCUAAUACCGCAUAACGUCGCAAGACCAAAGA